GGAUUGUCGCUCAGUGGUAGAGUGCUUGUCUAGCAUGCAUGAGGCGCUGGGUUCAAUCCUCAGCACCA
rnacentral:tRNA from 1 species